AAGUCGUAACAAGGUUUCCGUAGGUGAACCUGCGGAAGGAUCAUUAAAAAAAUUUAACACUUUUAAAAUUCUCACUGAAUUCACUCUCAGUGUUGUGAUCUCUGUAAGCCUUAAGAGGAAGGUCGUAAGACCGGAUUCUUGAGCAAACCCUUUUUUAACUUAAUCAAAAAACCCAAUUCAAACCCUCCAAAAUGGACUGCUUUUUGUGUUUUUCUCUUUUAAUUUUCCGCAAGGAAUGCUAAAGGAGUUAAACGAAAGGGCUUUCCAAUUUAAAACCCCAAAAACAAAACACAAAAAACACUCACCGAGUGUAUAAACUAAAAAUUCAUAAAAUGAAAUACAACUCUUAACAAUGGAUAUCUCGGUUCUCGU
rnacentral:misc_RNA from 1 species